CCCUGGUUAGCUCAGUUGGUAGAGCGCUCCACCUGUAAUGGAGAGGUCCCGGGUUCGAUACCGACCAGGCG
rnacentral:tRNA from 2 species